rnacentral:rRNA from 1 species
UACAGAGGUCUCAAGCGUUGUUCGGAAUUACUGGGCGUAAAGGGUGCGCAGGUGGUCAUGUAAGUCAAAUGUGAAAGACUGGGGCUCAACCUCAGAUUUGCAUGUGAUACUGCGUGACUUGAGAACUGAAGAGGGAUCUUGAAUUCACGGUGUAGCAGUGAAAUGCGUAGAUAUCGUGAGGAACACCAAAGGCGAAAGCAGGAUCCUGGUCAGCUUCUGACACUCAUGCACGAAGGCUAGGGGAGCAAACGGG